AUCCAUAUAUCCAACCAGGAGUGCCCUUUUCACUCAAUGCCAUGCCCUUUUCAAUAUUUUGCCUCUCAUACAAAAACUACCUCAAGAUUAAGCUGCACUGAAGUCACACUUUAAAAAGUGAAAUAAGGAAUGUAAUGGAAUAAGCAAUUAAUAAAAACAUGCACAUUUUCUACAUUGUGAUGCAUGUUGUGUGUGCUACUGCAAAAAUCCCUUGCAUUACACAGAUGCCUUCACUAGGGCACAAGAUAGGUUUACGUUAUACUACAGUGCACCCACAAAAACGCUUUGAGUGUCUUAACUAUAAAUACAUACAUCUUACACAUGAUCUGAAAG